AAUCAGGACGGGCCUGGCAGCGUCGUAGCUGCCCACAGUUCUGCAGCCACUCGGUACGGCGCUAACGCCGCGAGGUAGCUCGGUGCGUCUCGCAGUACCAGUGCGAACCUUUGGGCUCUCCAGGUCCGAGAUCCUAGUCUCCUGUCGGCUCUGAGGAGGAUGGAAGAUGGACCAGCCUGAAAUGAUCUUGAAGGAAGCCAUUGAAAACCAUCAGAACAUGAUUAAGCAGUUUAAAG
rnacentral:lncRNA from 1 species